AAAAAAGAGGAACAGAAACCUGUUCAGGUUCCUGCAGGUGUUCUACCCUGUUCUCAGUCCUUGUGUGAGUGGACAGCAGUUUCAGUUCCAGAACUCUCACUCUUACUGCCUUCCUCUUCCCAAUGGGAACUGCCUUCUUCCACCUGGAAAGAAAAUUGGAGCCUUUGCUAACAAAGGCCACAGAGGGUGUCAAACAUAUUUGGUCCUGUAUUCUGCAGCAGAGAGUGGAGUGGCUGAAGAGCAAUGCUGCCAUGCUGGGAGCUCCUUUGCUCCACUGCAGUGCUGUGACUGCGCUGCCUCUGCAGCCACAGCCAGCCAAGCAAACACCGCUGCCAGCUGUGUGCUGGGAUCAAGAGUUAGCCUGCUGACAAAAACCCCAGUAGUUUUCCUAAGCACUUGCCUUCCAAGAAGAAAGCUGGCCUUUUCUCUCCCUAUAGAAACAUCUCUCAUUCUCAGUGCUCAUUCUCAGUGUGUUCUUAAUCUGUCAUCGUCCUCUCGUCAAAAAAAAUAGUGAGACAGGGACUAGAAAGCAAAAAAAGUAACCAUUGAAGUCCUGAUGCUUUCCUAAUGUUGUAUUUAAUUUAGUCUAGCAACUCCUGGCUGUGAGGCAUGCUAGUGAACAGUGUAGGACCUGGCUGGAAAAAAUCUGAGUUUCAAGUUAAGUGACACUUUAACAAAGCUGCUUUAAGAACAUAAGAAUGCAAGACUGCACAGGAUCCAUAUCAACAGAAGGAAUCAGAAAAUACUACAAGAUGUAAACAAUUCCAAGACUUUCUGAAGAGUCAGGUCUACAGUGUCUGGAAGACACCCAUACACAGCAUGGAAAGAAAGAAA